rnacentral:rRNA from 1 species
AUUGAACGCUGGCGGCAGGCCUAACACAUGCAAGUCGAACGGUAACAGGCAGAAGCUUGCUUCUUUGCUGACGAGUGGCGGACGGGUGAGUAAUGUCUGGGAAACUGCCUGAUGGAGGGGGAUAACUACUGGAAACGGUAGCUAAUACCGCAUAACGUCGCAAGACCAAAGAGGGGGGCCUUCGGGCCUCUUGCCGUCGGAUGUGCCCAGAUGGGAGUAGCUAGGAGGGGGGGGAACGGCUCACCUAGGCGACGAGCCCUAGCUGGUCUGAGAGGAUGACCAGCCACACUGGAACUGAGACACGGUCCAGACUCCUACGGGAGGCAGCAGUGGGGAAUAUUGCACAAUGGGCGCAAGCCUGAUGCAGCCAUGCCGCGUGUAUGAAGAAGGCCUUCGGGUUGUAAAGUACUUUCAGCGGGGAGGAAGGGAGUAAAGUUAAUACCUUUGCUCAUUGACGUUACCCGCAGAAGAAGCACCGGCUAACUCCGUG